GGGACAUUAUGUCCUCCGGGUGCCCGGCAGUGUAGAGAAUGGUGAGUAUGCUGUUCUCUAUCAGGUAAUUCACCCUUCUCUCACUAUCUGGCAUCUAGGGUUCUACUACACCAGC
rnacentral:precursor_RNA from 15 species